UGGGGAAUUUUGGACAAUGGGCGAAAGCCUGAUCCAGCAAUGCCGCGUGUGUGAAGAAGGCCUUCGGGUUGUAAAGCACUUUUGUCCGGAAAGAAAUCCUUGGCUCUAAUACAGUCGGGGGAUGACGGUACCGGAAGAAUAAGCACCGGCUAACUACGUGCCAGCAGCCGCGGUAAUACGUAGGGUGCAAGCGUUAAUCGGAAUUACUGGGCGUAAAGCGUGCGCAGGCGGUUUGCUAAGACCGAUGUGAAAUCCCCGGGCUCAACCUGGGAACUGCAUUGGUGACUGGCAGGCUAGAGUAUGGCAGAGGGGGGUAGAAUUCCACAUGUAGCAGUGAAAUGCGUAGAGAUGUGGAGGAAUACCGAUGGCGAAGGCAGCCCCCUGGGCCAAUACUGACGCUCAUGCACGAAAGCGUGGGGAGCAAACAGGAUUAGAUACCCUGGUAGUCCACGCCCUAAACGAUGUCAACUAGUUGUUGGGGAUUCAUUUCCUUAGUAACGUAGCUAACGCGUGAAGUUGACCGCCUGGGGAGUACGGUCGCAAGAUUAAAACUUAAAUGAAUUGACGGGGUCAUAGCUG
rnacentral:rRNA from 1 species